AGAGUUUAUUAACAACAGUUGCUAUUAGAGCCACAAUUAUAAAUAUUUUAAAGUCAUGGAUUUUUUGCCCUUUUUUGAAAGGAACAUUGGCUUUUGUUGAUUGUUGUGGUUCUGAUACCAAUUGUUGUAAAUAAAUUUU
rnacentral:miRNA from 1 species